rnacentral:lncRNA from 1 species
UCAUCACAUCCUUACUUGGACGUCAACUUUGGUCUCUAAAAAAACCAUGUUUUCCUAGUGUUCUAUCGCUAUCGAUCUUUUUCCAAUUAUCUGAAACUGUGCACUUGCUAAUAAUUUGUAAAGCUUAUAUUUCUCAUGACAAUAUUACGAUCAAAUUAUGUCUGCAAUAACAUAUCUUUAUGAUACGAUGCUGGUGGAGAUAGACGCGCUACAAGACGACAUUGAGAAGAUCAAAACUGAAGCAAGAUAGACUGACCUAAUUGAGGAAUUGGGGAAGGACGAGCGAAGAACCAAGUUCGUUGAACGAACAUGAACCCAGUUCGCUCCGGAAAUCAUCACGCGAUAGUCGCCCUCCCAACUGGAUUAGGGAUUACGAAGUUGGGAUCCAGCGGAAG